CCAGACUCCUACGGGAGGCAGCAGUGAGGAAUAUUGGUCAAUGGGCUUACGCCUGAACCAGCCAAGUCGCGUGAGGGAAGACUGCCCUAUGGGUUGUAAACCUCUUUUGUCAGGGAGCAACGCCGGCUACGUGUAGCCGGACUGAGAGUACCUGAAGAAAAAGCAUCGGCUAACUCCGUGCCAGCAGCCGCGGUAAUACGGAGGGUGCGAGCGUUAAUCGGAAUUACUGGGCGUAAAGCGCUCGUAGGCGGUAUGUCAAGUCAAGGGUGAAAUCCCCGCGCUCAACGUGGGAACUGCCUUUGAAACUGGCAAACUGGAGUGUGUGAGAGGAUAGUGGAAUUCCAGGUGUAGGAGUGAAAUCCGUAGAUAUCUGGAGGAACAUCAGUGGCGAAGGCGACUAUCUGGCACAUAACUGACGCUGAGGAGCGAAAGCGUGGGUAGCAAACAGGAUUAGAUACCCCCGUA
rnacentral:rRNA from 1 species